rnacentral:rRNA from 1 species
GAUGAACGCUGGCGGCGUGCCUAAUACAUGCAAGUCGAGCGAACAGAUGAGGAGCUUGCUCCUCUGACGUUAGCGGCGGACGGGUGAGUAACACGUGGAUAACCUACCUAUAAGACUGGGAUAACUUCGGGAAACCGGAGCUAAUACCGGAUAAUAUAUUGAACCGCAUGGUUCAAUAGUGAAAGACGGUUUUGCUAUCACUUAUAGAUGGAUCCGCGCCGCAUUAGCUAGUUGGUAAGGUAACGGCUUACCAAGGCGACGAUGCGUAGCCGACCUGAGAGGGUGAUCGGCCACACUGGAACUGAGACACGGUCCAGACUCCUACGGGAGGCAGCAGUAGGGAAUCUUCCGCAAUGGGCGAAAGCCUGACGGAGCAACGCCGCGUGAGUGAUGAAGGUCUUCGGAUCGUAAAACUCUGUUAUUAGGGAAGAACAAAUGUGUAAGUAACUAUGCACGUCUUGACGGUACCUAAUCAGAAAGCCACGGCUAACUACGUG